rnacentral:rRNA from 1 species
GACGAACGCUGGCGGCGUGCUUAACACAUGCAAGUCGAACGGUAAGGCCCUUCGGGGUACACGAGUGGCGAACGGGUGAGUAACACGUGGGUGAUCUGCCCUGCACUUCGGGAUAAGCCUGGGAAACUGGGUCUAAUAUCGGAUAGGACCACUGCCUGCAUGGGUGGGGGUGGAAAGCUUGUGCGGUGUGGGAUGGGCCCGCGGCCUAUCAGCUUGUUGGUGGGGUGAUGGCCUACCAAGGCGACGACGGGUAGCCGGCCUGAGAGGGUGACCGGCCACACUGGGACUGAGAUACGGCCCAGACUCCUACGGGAGGCAGCAGUGGGGAAUAUUACACAAUGGGCGCAAGCCUGAUGCAGCGACGCCGCGUGAGGGAUGACGGCCUUCGGGUUGUAAACCUCUUUCAGCACCGACGAAGCGCAAGUGACGGUAGGUGCAGAAGAAGGACCGGCCAACUACGUGCCAGCCGCCGCAGUAA